UGGGGGAAGAUGAUGACGGUACCCCAUGAAUAAGCACCGGCUAACUACGUGCCAGCAGCCGCGGUAAUACGUAGGGUGCGAGCGUUGUUCGGAAUUACUGGGCGUAAAGGGCGUGCAGGCGGAUUGGCAAGCCGGAGGUGAAAGCCCGGGGCUCAACCCCGGAGGGUCUUUCGGAACUGCCAGUCUUGAGAGGGUCAGGGGCCAGCGGAAUUCCUGGUGUAGAGGUGAAAUUCGUAGAGAUCAGGAGGAACACCGGCGGCGAAAGCGGCUGGCUGGGGCCACUCUGACGCUGAGGCGCGAAAGCGUGGGGAGCAAACAGGAUUAGAUACCCUGGUAGUCCACGCCGUAAACGAUGGGCACUAAGCGUCCGACGGGUUCGACCCUGUUGGGUGCUGCAGUUAACGCGUUAAGUGCCCCGCCUGGGGAGUACGGUCGCAAGACUA
rnacentral:rRNA from 1 species